AGAGUUUGAUCCUGGCUCAGAGUGAACGCUGGCGGCAGGCCUAUACAUGCAAGUCGAACGGCAGCACAGCAGAGCUUGCUCUGUGGGUGGCGAGUGGCGGACGGGUGAGGAAUACAUGGGAAUCUGCCCAGUCGUGGGGGAUAACGUAGGGAAACUUACGCUAAUACCGCAUGCGCCCUUCGGGGGAAAGCCGGGGACCUUCGGGCCUGGCGCGAUUGGAUGAGCCCAUGUCGGAUUAGCUAGUUGGCGGGGUAAUGGCCCACCAAGGCGACGAUCCGUAGCUGGUCUGAGAGGAUGAUCAGCCACACUGGAACUGAGACACGGUCCAGACUCCUACGGGAGGCAGCAGUAGGGAAUAUUGGACAAUGGGCGCAAGCCUGAUCCAGCCAUGCCGCGUGAGUGAAGAAGGCCCUCGGGUUGUAAAGCUCUUUUGUCCGGAAAGAAAAGCGCCGGGUUAAUACCCUGGUGUCCUGACGGUACCGGAAGAAUAAGCACCGGCUAACUUCGUG
rnacentral:rRNA from 1 species